rnacentral:rRNA from 1 species
CCUACGGGGGGCAGCAGUAGGGAAUAUUGGGCAAUGGGCGGAGGCCUGACCCAGCCAUGCCGCGUGCAGGAAGACGGCGUUCUGCGUUGUAAACUGCUUUUAUACGGGAAGAAAAGGCCCAUGCGUGGGACAUUGCCGGUACCGUAUGAAUAAGCACCGGCUAACUCCGUGCCAGCAGCCGCGGUAAUACGGAGGGUGCAAGCGUUGUCCGGAUUUAUUGGGUUUAAAGGGUGCGUAGGCGGCCUGUUAAGUCAGCGGUGAAAGUUUAUGGCUCAACCAUGAAAUUGCCGUUGAUACUGUCGGGCUUGAGUGUCGAUGGGGUACAUGGAAUUUAUGGUGUAGCGGUGAAAUGCAUAGAUACCAUAAGGAACACCGAUAGCGAAGGCAUUGUACUUAUCGACAACUGACGCUGAGGCACGAAAGCGCGGGUAGCGAACAGG